rnacentral:lncRNA from 1 species
GCCCAAGACAAACCCAGUCUUUCCCCUCACAGCGUUACCUACUGGGACGGGACAGCCAGACACACUUCUGCACUUGGCUCUCUUUCCUGAAAAGGCAGGCAGGACAACUCUGGUGGAGUCCCAGCACUACCCUGAGAAGAGAUACACAGCAUCAGCCCAGCUGGGCCCCUCCUGGACGCUCAUCUUCCCCAGACAACUCUGCUUUCUGCCUCUGGGCUUUGACUGAAGGCCGCAAUCCCAUGGCCAAAGUUUGGGUUUCUCUGUUCUCCUCAAGGCCAAGUCCCCUGCCUCAGUUGCCUGGCCUAACAGGGAGGACGGCCCAGUCGACAGGUCUAGAACAAAGGCCAGCCCCUCUUCCACACAUCUCUGCUUCGCUAGGAUCUGGGAAGCCACGCACCCGCUGCAACUGUGCCAGGCUGCACCUCAGAGGCCGCGGGAGAUAGGCUGCAGCCAGGAGCUGUUACCAUCAGGUCGCCAGGCUCGGCGCUGCCGGUGUGGACGCGGACGUCGCUGG